GGGGCUGUAGCUCAGCUGGGAGAGCGCAUGAAUCGCACUCAUGAGGUCAGGGGUUCGAUCCCCCUCAGCUCCACCG
rnacentral:tRNA from 1 species